AGCCGGGAGGCGGUGAACGACCUCUCCUGAGGGAGGGCAUUUAUCUGAGAACCCUGGGAAAUGGAGUCUCUGGGCUGGAGGCGGGCGCCACGGCAUGGGGGGAAAUGUGGAGCCCCCCGCACCGCCCCCAUCUCCCGUCACAAGGGGAAACGGACUCAGCAGCCCGGCGGCCCUGAAAGGAACUGCCAGGCGAUUUUCCAAAGUGGCUGCCCCAUUUCACAUCACCCCCAGCUGUGUGUGAGGGCGCACCUCGACAGAGCAUGGCAGUGAUUGUUGAAGAUUCUCCAGUAAGAGCGAGUUGGUGAUGUCAGUUAACCCAUGAGAGGCUAGCUGUGUGUUAAUAGUAAUAAAAUCAAAGAACUCGG